rnacentral:lncRNA from 1 species
UUGGCAUUACCCAGGAUAAUCAGACACGGUCCUAGAACCCCAAGACACCUACUGGGUAGUAUAUAAGGAGAGACCAAGAGCAACGCUCUGCCCAUCUGGAGAGAUGAGACCUUCCUUGAUCAGCCCUGGGGCUGGAGAGUCUCCCUCAGGAUCCUGGCCCUUGCAUCAAAGACUUCUGCUAGAGACUGGGCCUGGCCUUCAGCUAUGAUACAUCCCAGGAAUGUGUGUCUGUCCACUCACAAGCAGGUCCUGCCAUAGGCUAGUGACACCUCUGCAGAUCCAUUCCUUCAGUGGGAACAGACUGGAGACCAGGAACAGCACCAGACAGGGAUGCCAAGCUGCAAGGGAGAUCAGUUCGCCUAGCUGUCCCUUUGGGAGUCCACACACAGCCCAGAGUGCUGAGUGACAGGCUGAGACGCCUUUACCUGGCUCCUUCCUCCUAGC